UGAAUUUACACAAAAGUGGGUUCCAGUAUUGUUUGAUGACCAACAGUUGGACAGGAUAGUUAAGUACCUGACAGGCUUCCUUCAUAACUGUGAAAAAAUCUCAGAUGAAGUCUCCACCAUGCUGUCCUAUGACAAGCUUAAAUACAUCCUUGUUGUGAUGUUGCCAGAGGUAAGUCAAUAGGUGUCUUUUUAAAUGUAGAGGUAUGAGCAUAAUAACAUUGACAAUAAUAUGGAUGCAUAAUCGGGAUAUGAUACCUGUAACAAAGGUGACAGUAAAGGCCUUGGAAGAAAUAAGGAACAUGACAACAAAAGACGCAGUGGCAGAGGUUGAUCAUGGACCACUGGAUGAGAGUGAAAUGGAGGCCAUGGAGAUGGCAAUAAGGAAUGACAUGGAGAGGCGUGGGCUUGUGUAAAAACGAUCCAAUAAAGGUUUCUUAAAUCAGA